rnacentral:lncRNA from 1 species
CACACGGGCGUGUGGCCCCACACGGGUAAGGCACAUGAGCGUGUGGGCCCGAUUUGUUUGAAAUGUUCUGCAAGGUUGCAUGGCUCGCCCAAGUCUACUGUGACCUAUUUGUAGGGUCAGUAAGCGUUACUUAGACCUUUAUACUCUAAUCUGAUAUUAAGAUGUAUGUAAAAGCAUGAUAAUUUAAGCAUGUGUAUCUGCUCUGAUUUGAUGACAAUGCUAUGAUUUGAUAUCUGCACAUGAGCAUGCCAUAUUAUUUAUGUUGCAUUGCAUUGGGUUGGGUUUGUAUUAAAGAGAAGGAAGAUUGAAAGGC